UGGGUGGUCAUCACUGAGCUAUAAUAUAUCUGGAGGAAGUGCUCCUAUCUCUCUUCAGUCAAGCAAGUGAAGCCAAAAACAUGGCGGAUUUUCAAGGAUUUUCACGUUUGCUGACGCCAGAAUGACGCCACUGGUCCCAAAUCCUCGUGGUAAUUACCACUGAGCAAGGCUCAUUUUGAGCCCGCUACCACUUUCUCAUCCCCCUGAUUUUCACAAAAAUAUUUUAGCUUUUUGUUUUGAAGUUUGCCUCGGUGUUUGCCUUCUCUUCGACAUUUUAACAUUUGUUUCGAGUUGCACAAGUGGUAAGAAUCAUCCUGGCUAGUGAAAGACAGGGAACGAAUCUUCAAACCUCAAGAAAUUUUGGAAAGACGUUAUUUGUAAAGGUAAAAAAAUACUGUUUAUAUGUUCAAUAUUAAUUUGUGAUAGAGUAUGUCAAAACAAAGCGAAAUAAACAGCCCAUUUGUACUGUGUAGUGGACAAUUUUAGCAACUGAUGUAUACAGUUAGGUUGUCCAAAUUAUAUUAAUACGAGAAACAGUCUUCCUCGAAAGAAAAUGGUUGAAAUUUCAGAUUUUAGUUUCAUUUGUUAUUUCAAAUUUUACGAUAUAAAAUGCCAGUCGACCACCAUCUGCUUCAUGAUCAUACUUAUUAAAAUUAAAGUGGUUUCUAUUAUAUUAGUAUACCUAUAGAGGAAGACCUUUUUAAGCCAGAACUAUCAUGGCUUGGCUUUGAAUGAUUUAAUCCAUGUACUUUAUAACUGGCCACUGAUGGCAAUGAAAUUAUAAUGACUAAUGUGUAGAAUUAUCAAGUCUAGAUCCAAAAAUUGGCAGUUUCAUAUAUAAGAUCAGGCAUAUAUAAGAUCAAAGCUAGUUUCAUAUAUAAGAUCAGGUUUAGAGGCCUGUAGCAUUUUCUCUAGAAAUUGCAUGAGUAAAAUCAAUUUCAUAAAAUACCCGUUGAGCCGCAAUGCGCCCUAUUUAUUUUUUUACUUGCCAGAUGAUUUUACUUGUCAAUGGGGAAGCUCUGUACAUAGCUUAUCGGUUAACCAAAAAAAACUGACAAUGUCUCUAGUUAACCUAUUGAGCCGCAAUGCGCCCCAGUGUGCCCUACUUUUUUUUUGCUUUCUAAAGCCAGACAAUAUCACUCGUCAAUGGGGAAGCUCUGCAGCUUAGAUGAUACUUGAUGUUGGUAAUUCAUGUAUUUUUGGAGGAAAAUAUUUUAGACAGUGGUUGUUUGCCUGGCACCAAACCCCAAUAUUUACAUGCUAUUUGUCUAAGUGAACUAUUUUCCUCAUUCUUUCAACAUGCCAAAGUGAUAUAAAAUAAAUUUCAGUUGAAUUCAAGCAAGUCCUCGGGCCCGUAAGUUGUCAACUGACGACUAUCACCUUCAUUGUUAGUUAAGUAUAUAUCUGCUUAUGUCCUGGGUUCAAAUGAGUGGAAUUUCAAGAGCAUUCUGACUGGCUUUGUGCAAACAGGGGGCCUUACCGGUUAGGAUGAGGGCCAGUUGAGGUGUUAGGGUUGGGUGCAGGCAAGGUUCAUGUAAACUUAUUGUUAGCAAGAAUCAGAGAAGGAUUUUCAUAUUUUUGUUCGGGGGGGAUAAAUAUCUGGGGGGUGAUGCUGCUUGCUUUGGCCGGGGCCUGGUGGCAACGCCUGGAAAGGCCAAGGAAAAAGUUUAACAAAAUUUGUUUUCUAUGUCUGCAUGGCAAGAUUGAGACCAUAAUAUUGAUAAUUUUACAAAUUUAGUAGUAAGAAUAAUCAAAUAUGAAACCAUCAAAUCAAAAUAUAUAUAAUUUGUGGGGGUGCAAAAACUUUGGGGGGCAGUGCCAAAUGCCUCUUGGGGGGGGGGAGGGGGUUGCAAAUCAUUUCUGGGGGUAUGCCCCCCCCCAGAAAAUCUGUGCCUGGCAAGAAUGUUAUGUGUACAUAAUCAUGUGUAAUGUUGUUUGGAUUAAUUGCAUUUAAAACGUUGGAAUCCAGUGUCGAACAAUAACCACAACAAUUAUUAUAUAAAGUAUUUGGUUGUUUUAGUGUAAUAUUAAUUUCUCACAUAUUUUUUUCAGAAAUAAAGCACCAUUGAGCAACUUGUUGGGAAAGAGGAGUCACAAACUGUUGAUGAAUAUAUUUAAUUAACUACACAUAAAAUACAAUUUUAUUAACAGUAUAUUGAUUUAUGGGUUUAUUAGACCACAUUAUUUUCAUAUUAUUAAUAAUUAAAAAUAAAAUUAACAAAUAAAUUACAAAAUCAAUGUGAAAAUAUUGCAAUAAUCAAUUAAAAUGUCAAACCAGCCAAUUGUUUCAAAUUAUAGCUGUUAUUGUUAUUGAAUAUGUCUAUGCUAUGGACCAGUGGUAUCUGCAUUAUUUUAACAUAGAGACAAGGCUAUAGGGUCAUGUUUUGUGUUUUUUACCCUUUAGCCUCGUUUUCAUUCGUACUUCCACUGAGAUACCGCUGGUUCUCGCCACAGCGGGUAUUCAAAUACGAUAACAGCUAUUAUGCAUUUGUGAGUGUAACCUAACCCCCUCCCCCCCUGAGAGAACAAGAGAGUUGCUGUGGGCCCCUAUUAUCCCUUUUGAUAAGUCAGGCAAUCCACCACAUAAUUUUCCUUUCAAAUGCCAGACGAAUAUACUUGUCAAUGCAAGGGGAGAGCUCUGGCACUCUAUGGGUUGACCAGUAUAUGCCUAUGCAUCCUGUUAAGCCUUUGAUAAGUCUGAAUGCAACACAAUGCACCCUACUUUAUUAUUCUGUCUAAUGGCAAAUUUUAUUUGUGAAGGGGAGAUUGCUGAAUGAGUUAACCCUUUAAUUAAGUGGCAAUGCACCCUGAUGUGCCCUACUUUUAGUAUUUUACUCUGUCUUAUGCCAAAGUAUUUUACUCUGUCUAAUGCCAGAUGAUUUUACUCAUCAAGUGGAGAGUGCUGCCCCUCGAUGGAUGAAUGGAAUAUUAUACUAAUUGCUUUGAACAAAGGUGAUUCCCUUUGUGGCAUAAAAUUUAACCAGGGCAUUCUUCAAGUUUUCAAC